CCUACGGGAGGCAGCAGUGAGGAAUAUUGGUCAAUGGGCGAGAGCCUGAACCAGCCAAGUCGCGUGAGGGAUGACUGCCCUCUGGGUUGUAAACUUCUUUUAUAUGGGAGUAAAAUGUUCCACGUGUAGAAGUUUGUAUGUACCAUAUGAAUAAGGAUCGGCUAACUCCGUUCCAGCAGCCGCGGUAAUACGGGGGGUCCGAGGUUUAUCCGGAUUUAUUGGGUUAAAAGGGAGCGUAGGGGGAUUGUUAAGUCAGUUGUGAAAGUUUGCGGCUCAACCGUAAAAUUGCAGUUGAAACUGGCAGUCUGGAGGACAGUAGAGGUGGGAGGAAUUCGUGGUGUAGCGUUGAA
rnacentral:rRNA from 1 species